CCAGGGAAGCCCCCUGGCAGGCGGAUUCUUAACCACUGCGCCACCAGGGAAGUCCCUGGAUUUCAGCUUUGAUCUGCUUUCUCUGGGAAAGAUUUGCUUUUUGUACAGUUAUUUCUAACAGUUCAUCCACUCCUCAGUAUUCAAUAGGAGCCGUGGACAUUGCUUAGAGAGACAAAACUACAUUGAAGACCUUCGGAAUGGUCCCAUCAGAAAGAAUCGGGAUUCCAGUGUAUCCAGAACAAGUGGUUUUGAAGACUCAGAGCAUAUGAUGGAACCAGUUCACACAGCUAAUAAGUCUGUUAACCAAGGACCGAAGUAUAACCUACAUCAGACCCCAGGUUACCCAACAUCUCGGCAUUUCCAUACCCAGACCCAAGAUUUGCAGCAAUCAGAAAGAAAAUGUUCACAGAAUCAGAACAUUUACCAGAGAGGCCAUAUUCCUCCUCCUGGUCCCCACGGAGAGGACCGUUUACACAGGAGGUACUCUUGGAAUGUAAAGCCGAAUGCCAGUCAAGCAGCACAGAACAGAAGGUAGUAUCCUGGCAGUUACUACAGACUACCCUAUCCGACCUAUUAUAGAUGGACCAAGUGACACAAGCCUACCGUGGAAAUCUAUCUAGAGACAGAACAGGACAGAAGACAGCCAGAGUGACUUGUUAUAAGAUCAGGUCAAAUGAGGUUUAUAAUCUAUUUUAGUGCUCCCUUAUGUGUUCGAGCUUCAGGAAAAAUUAUAUUGAUACUUAGCUCCACUGAUAAAUUUGCAGUAUUUACAACAGUGAAGGAAAUAAUGUCAUUCCGGUCUUAAAUUUUUUUAAAGGAGGAUGAUAUUUUAGAACUGAUAAAAAGUAAUAAAGAGCAUCCCUUGUAAAUUAUUUUUAAAAAUUCUAUCUUCCUCUUCUGGUGUAUUUCCUUCUGAAUAGACUUGUAAUGUUAGUGUGUGUGUGUGUGUGUGUGUGUUUGUGUGUGUAUGUGUGCCGAAAAUUUUUAGUGUUUUUGUCAUGUUCUGUUAUUACCCAAUCAUCAGGGUAUCUUCAUCCCCCCCAAAAAAACUGUUCAAGAUUUCUAUUAAAAUCUACCUAGGAGAUAAUCUCUUUAGAACCUAAUCACUAUUUGUAAUUAGUUGUAGUAUUUUUGUGGUUAGACAUUUCUUUCUUUCUUUUGGCAGUCUAUUGUUGGAUUUGACCAAUUUCCUUUCACUGAAUUGUCAGAUAUGCCAUCUAACACUGGAUAAACUUUUAGGGAUUGAUUGUCAAUUGAGCAGGAGAGACCAAUUGACAAACGUAAAUGCUAAAUGCUGGGUAAUUUACCUGACAGGGUAAUUGUUAUCAACUGGGUGGAGCUACUCAGAAAACUUGAAAACGUCUAUAGACUAUAAAGGUUGCUUGAUGAACAGAAUAGGGUGCGACAUUUAAAGCCUGGAAUAUCUGGGGAGACUUGCAUGGCUCCUUGUGUUGUUGCUUCUUUGGUGAACAUAACCUGCUGCAGUCUUUCUCCACUUGCCUCUCACAGCGGAAUGGUUCCUUGACCUUGACUUUUUCUAAGUUGCCUCUUCUGCUAGUUUACCUCUGGAACACACAGCUGGAUCACGUGGGAGGUGUUCAUUACUUUUAGUUGCAGAGGAAGCCAGAAACCUUUGUUUGCUCAAGAAAGGGUCUAACUGUCAUGACAUCAAAAGCCUUGGUAAAUAUUUGAUGAAUACUUGGGCAAAUUGGCUUCAUUGUUUAAGUCUCUGAUUUUGAAGCGUUGUAUCAAGGAAAG